rnacentral:sRNA from 1 species
UUGAGUUACAAAAUAUCUUCACAAGUUUGAGGGUAUCUUUAGGGUAUGCCGCUAUGGUUUUGAUUUUUAUUCCCUUCCACUUGAAAAUAUAUUUUUUUGUUG